rnacentral:rRNA from 1 species
UACGAAGGGGGCUAGCGUUGCUCGGAAUGACUGGGCGUAAAGCGCGCGUAGGCGGCCCGGUAAGUCCGUUGUGAAAGUCAAAGGCUCAACCUUUGAACGCCGAUGGAUACUGCCGGGCUAGAGUCCGGAAGAGGCGAGUGGAAUUCCCCAAGUAGAGGUGAAAUUCGUAGAUAUGGGGAGGAACACCGGUGGCGAAGGCGGCCAUCUGGACGGAUACUGACGCUGAGACGCGAAAGCGUGGGGAGCAAACAGG